GAUUGAACGCUGGCGGCGUGCUUAACACAUGCAAGUCGAUCGGUAACAGGUGUAGCAAUACAUGCUGACGAGAGGCGGACGGGUGAGUAAUGCUUGGGAAUCUGCCUAUUAGUGGGGGACAACCCGGGAAACUCGGGCUAAUACCGCAUACGCUCUACGGAGGAAAGCCGGGGACCGCAAGGCCUGGCGCUAAUAGAUGAGCCCAAGUCGGAGUUAGCUAGUUGGUAGGGGUAACGGCCUACCAAGGCGACAAUCCGUAGCUGGUCUGAGGGGACGACCAGCCACACCGGAACUGAGACACGGUCCGGACUCCUACGGGAGGCAGC
rnacentral:rRNA from 1 species